GACGUAGGGGGCCAGCGUUGCUCGGAAUUACUGGGCGUAAAGGGUUCGUAGGCGGUGUGGCAAGUCGGGAGUGAAAUCUCCAGGCUCAACUUGGAGGCUGCUUCCGAAACUGCCGCGCUAGGGUGCGAGAGAGGCCAGUGGAAUUGCAGGUGUAGCGGUGAAAUGCGUAGAUAUCUGCAGGAACACCCGUGGCGAAGGCGGCUGGCUGGAUCGCAACUGACGCUGAGGAACGAAAGCUAGGGGAGCAAACAGG
rnacentral:rRNA from 1 species